rnacentral:lncRNA from 1 species
CAGAUUAAAGUUAAUUUCAUGCAUCAUUUUAGAGUGCAAUCAUUUUUAGUGCAUUUUUUUUUGCACUAAUUCUGUUAAUGCUCAGAUAAUAUUUAGGAUAUUCUAAUCAGUAAUCAUACGUUUUAAUGAUUAUCAAGAAUGCAGGUUAAAAAAGAUAUGAAUCUACAAUUUAUAUGCUUUCUUUGACAUAUUUAGCAUUUAUCUAUCAAUUUUUUUGCCUUAAUGUUCAUGUUUAAUGCUCAAUGCAGUGUGGCAUUUAUUUUAUGGACGUACAAUUAUUACAUGUAAUCUCUCAAUAAAAGUGAGUUCAUUAAAUCUGCAUGUACAAUUAUGCAUGAAUUAACAAAAAUAUUAGAUGCAUUUCAACAUUUCAAGUAUAUUUUUUUGCAUCAAUUGCAAAAGAAAAAAAAUGCUCAGGAAAGUUCAAAUAUGUAAUCGAAAAAGACAGCAGAAAGUAUUUGUGUGCUGACCUAAUAUUACACUGGGUUUGUUAUGUGUGUAAUUAUUAUUUAUUAAAUUAAUGAAAGAUUAUCUAAUAAACUCUUUGAAAUUUGAAAUGUUUGCUAAACCAAUGUUCAGCCUGUUCACAGAUCCUCGUUAACUGUUUUGUGAAUUGUCAGUUUUGGCAAAGCAAUUGCUCUUUCCUGAGAAAGUGUUUCACAUCUCAAACUAAAUUAACCACACUUAACCACACUCUCUGUUCUUUUUUUUUUGUGUGUGUGACAUGCAGAAGCUCAGCAAUUUUUUGUAUUUCCUUAAUGUGCAGAAGUGGAUAAAAGCAGACAAAUGUUGUAAAAUGAAGACUUACUGAGCCAUUCAGAUGCAUUUGGGCUGUCGUAGAGUAUUUGGUCUUGAUUUUGAUUUUAAUAUGAUUAAUAAAUUUGCAUUUGGUCCUUUCUGACAGGAAGUCCUGCAGGUCAGUGGCAUCCUUUGGAGAGCAAAGACAGCAUCUGACAUCUUAACAGAUCUCAAACUGAAAUUAGAAGUGAAUAUGAAAAUGCACCACAAUUCACCCUCAGCAAAUGUCACACAAGAAUGUCAAACAAAUGUGUUGAAGAUUUACACUGAAGGAGGGACUCGAUCCAUAACUAUGGUCCUUGACAAUUGACUUGGAUCUGCAAGCAAUCACCUAGCAACUGCAUAGCAACGCUCUGACCACCUCAGCAUCAAGGCACAGUGAGUUUUGUAAGAAACCUCUCACAUGUUCUUCAUAAAUCUAAAAAUCUAGUUUAUUAACAAGAUGACUAAGUGCAAUCCAGCUAUGAAAAGUACUUGAUAAAUUAAUUAUGCAUCCUUGUGGGUAAUGUGAUUAAUUUAUACACAAGAUGUUACCGUUUUAGUAGAACAAAAGCAUGUCUAUAAGCACAUUAGUGCUUUCAGCUGUCUUCAUGUUAUGCAUCAAAUUCAUGUCUAGUUUAAAAACACAGAUUCGAUCAGCUCUUUGAGAAGAGGUUAAUGCAUUAAAUAGUAGAGAAGCUGAAGUAUUUAUCGGCUAUAUCGUGGCUCUAAUUUAAGGACGCGGAGCUUUGAUGUUAUAGUGAGAGAACGGGAUGGGACUUGGUCUAUAUUGAAAGGUCAGAAAACAGGACAGUGGUGGGGAGCAACACACGGCCUAAUGCUGACUACAAACAGUCCACAUUCAGUUCCGUUUUGAACUGAAGAAAGACAUGUAUUAAUAAUUGGGCAACAGGACUGUUAGUAUUUGACUCCA